AACAACCCAAACUAGGCUAGACUCGCUUAGGGAAAACUGGGUCCCCAGCAGAGUCGUCAGCUGUCGCCACUGGGGUAAGGAAAAUUGGGACUUUUGCUUUGAACUAAAGAGUCAGAAGAGUCGCCAUCGAAUUUUAUUUGUAUGCCUCUAUCAGAGAGGCGAGAGGAAAUAGUCGAUAAAACCCUAAAAGAUAUAAGUGCACGGGAAGUGCUAAAAAAGGAUAAAGAAUCGAUCUCGUAACCGAGAUUAGGGUUCGG
rnacentral:lncRNA from 1 species